CAUAGGAUAGUUUAUAGAAAAUAUUAGUUUUGGGAAUUAAUGAUAUGAGAAUUUCUUUCCUUUGA
rnacentral:tRNA from 1 species